rnacentral:tRNA from 1 species
GGCCUGCUGGCUCAAUGGCAGAGCGCCUGACUACGAAUCAGGAGGUUCCAGGUUCGAGCCCUGGGUAGGUCA